rnacentral:lncRNA from 10 species
AGAGGCGUUUAGAAUGGAGGAGAGGAGCUGGGCUCAUCUGCGAGCUUGAGUGGAACAGCAGUGGGGACAGGAGAGCUGCGACAUUGGAGAAGUUCCAAAGAGGCUGUUUCCUUGCUUAGCCACGGGUGGAAGUCACAUCCACUGAACUGUCACCUGGCAGGCAUUAUAAAUUAAGGAGGAAUAGUAACAAAGAGCUUGAAGACAUGCACAGCUCACAGGCCCCGGGUGGAGGCUGGCGACAUCAGACAGACAGAACCAAGACAUCUGAGGGGCAACCAGGAGGUGCGUGUGGCUGCAGAGCACACAGUUCCUUGAAAUGUCUUGGAUGAAAAUUGGGUUCUGCACACUGGAUCUGGCUGGUUGAUUCUGCCUGCGAAGACUGAAGUUGGCUUUGAUGCCUAUAGAUGCACUCACCCUUCGCUCGGGUUCCAGAGGCCAUGUGGUGUAUGGGGAAGGCAAUGUAGAUGGUGGGAAAAUCACUUGACUUCUCUUGCUCAUCUGUCAAAUGAAACUGUUACCAUCCUUCCUUCGUGCAUCCAAAUAUAGAUGUAAGGAGCACAUGUGAUUAUACUGCACACACCAACAGUUCCUGACUAUCCAAGUGCUGUAUAAUUAUAAGGUUUUAUAGUCAUUAUUCUGCUGCAUGUUUCUUACUAGUGAUUUACCCGUAUUGCACAAUUAAAAUUAUUUGAAAAGCUGUCUUUCCCCAGCUGUUAAUAUAGUCCCUUACUUUUUUUCAUUUCCACCAAUCAACUGAUAAAUCAAAUAUUUAUAAAGAUGCUAAAUUUGUCAUAUACCUACUCACCAUCAAAAAGUUAGUAUCCUAUGUAAGUCACAUGAAUGGAUGCGCAAUGUGUACAUAGACUAUUUGUAUUUU